UGGCAAACGGGUGAGUAACGCGUAAACAACCUGCCCAACGGAUGGGGACAACAGACGGAAACGACUGCUAAUACCCAAUAGACUCCGGUUUCGCAUGAAACCGACAGGAAAGGUGGCCUCUCGAAGAAGCUACCGCCGCAGGAGGGGUUUGCGUUUGAUUAGUUAGUUGGUGGGGUAACGGCCUACCAAGACGAUGAUCAAUAGCCGGUCUGAGAGGAUGAACGGCCACACUGGAACUGAGACACGGUCCAG
rnacentral:rRNA from 1 species